AAGGCUUUAGCUUAAUUAAAGUGUCUGCUUUGCAUGCAGGAGAUGUGGGAUAAUGUCCUGCAAGUCUUA
rnacentral:tRNA from 2 species